rnacentral:tRNA from 1 species
AAAAAGCUAGUUUAAGUAAAACUUUUGGUUUCGACCCAAAAUAUUUUGGUAAUUACCCCAAAGCUUUUGU